rnacentral:lncRNA from 1 species
ACGUACACUUAGGUCAUCAUUUCUUUAUCUUUCACUGCUAGUUACCGACAACUUAGAAAAUGAGACUCCAGAACUGUGCCCACUUACGAGCUUCGGGAAGAAAUGUGAGACGGUUCCUUGUGAAGCAUUAUGGAUGUUGGAAUCUCGAGGUUGCUUCUGUACAGGAUGUUGUGGGUGCCCUACCCAGAAGCCUCUGCCUACUGGCACACCCCGCCUCCGUCUGCUGUGAGCGUUGGUCGCUCCCUUCCCCAGAGAACUACUCUUGGCUUAGCUUGUCAGGGAUGCCUCACUGA